GUCUACGGCCAUGCUACCCUGAACACGCCCGAUCCUGUCUGAUCUCGGAAGCUAAGCAAGGUCAGGCGUGGUUAGUACUUGGAUGAGAGACCACCUAGGAAGAUCAGGUGCUGUAGGCG
rnacentral:rRNA from 1 species